GGAGAGAUGGCCGAGAGGUUUAAAGCGUCGGAUUGCUAAUCCGUUGUACGAUUUUUCUGUACCGAGGGUUCGAAUCCCUUUCUCUCCU
rnacentral:tRNA from 1 species